UGGAGUUCAUAGGAUCAGGCAGGAUGAGU
rnacentral:piRNA from 1 species